GCUCACACUUACAACAAAGGGCUGGGCGCAACAAACUCAAGCGCCUUAGGUCUUCCCCCAAAGCAGGGCAGCACGGGAUACCCCACCCAGCCCCAGUCACAGGAGCCCAGAGGCCUCCGCCCUGCUGACAAAAGAGCUGCGAGGGCGCGGUCGCGCGCAACCGGCGUGGCGCAGACACAACAAGGCAGUAAAACCCGCCCCAGCGCAGAGCCACGUGACAGCCCGCCGCGCCCCGCCCCCUCCCCGGAGCCGGCGGCCGGCCUGAGGGGAGGAGGCGGAGGAGGGAGGAGGAGGAGGAGGAAGAAUUCGUCGGAACUUGAGCGCCGGCGGCGGAGGAGGAGAAAGGAAAGAGAAAGGCGGAGCGCGGAGAGGCGGAGACGGAGCCCGGCAGGGGCGGCACCACGGCUCCAGCCCCGCACGGUCCGGUGUGAGGCGAGCGACGCGAGGAGACGCCGCCGUCGCCGCCACAGCCUCCGCUUCGCUGCCGUCCUUCGGGCCACGCUUGCUCCCUGCCGCCAGCAAGCUGCGGUGCCGCGGCCCCGCGUGCCGCAGCCGCAGGUAACCAGACCAGCCUUCCCCUGUGCAGAGCGGGUCUGGAGCUGGGCUGAGCCGCGGUCUCCAUCCUGCCCGCGGCUGUGCGGGCGGCGGGGCCCCCAGCACGUCCUCCCCGACUUGCGCCCGUCUCCGGGACCACAGAGCUACCGCACCCGGGCCUGUCGGCCUGCCAGCCCUGGUGACUCAUGCCGCCAGGGGUUCUGGUGGAGACCGCGAUUUGGGGACUGGGUGAGGGAGCCGACGGGUGUCACCCUCUUCCCUUCUCAAGAUGGCGCCGCGGAAAGAGUACCGGAGGCCGUGGUUCCGCCCGGCCUCUCCAGACAGCCCGGGGGUCCCAGGGAGAGCCGUGCAGGUUUAAGGGAGGAGGGUGGCGGGACGGCCCAGAGCCCUGGCGGGUACUGUUUGUUCGGGCGAUCCGGAGUCGGCUCUCAGCUGCUCAGGUGUUGCAAGCAGGGACCGGGGCCUAGGGCAGGUGUGGAUCUGGGGAGCUCCGCCUACCUUCGAAAGAUGGGUAAUGGAAGGGCUGGGAGGCUCAGCCAGACAACCGCUCUGGAGACUGGCAGGUGGCGAGCCGCAGCUUUAAGGAAAUUAAAGGUAACUGGGCCGCCGUACAGCUCCCUUGGUGGGUAAACCAGGAGACCUGCCCUGAUGCUGUCUUCCCUGGGAACUGGUCAGCCCCUCGAGACUUUCAGACUUUUUAAGCUCCUAGCAUCCUAGUUUACGUAUUUGAUUUUUUUUGGCCUGGCUUAAGUGGAAUCAAACUGUUACACUACUCCGGGAAUAUUCUGGACUCCUCAGAAACUUUGUUCUUUUCACUGUCGAAUGCAGAUAGUUUGAACACUUAGGGUUGUUGUAAGCAAAGUACUUGGUAACCAUGCCAGGCACAGAAUGAGUACCCAGUGAUUUUUUGAUCAAAGAGGACCUAAAAAGAGCAAAAGAGCACUACAGAACACUAGUUAUUUCCAAGUUUAAAAAUGCAUACAAUGCAAAGUCCUUGUUUGGCAAAACUGGGAGAAUUCUCAGUAAGUGUGAAUACGAGUAAAUGCACGCAGUUUUUACCUUGUUAAUAUUACGCUGUUUUUGAUUUAUUUCCUGUUAGAGAUCCUUGUAGCAUAAGGAUUCAGUGGCUUCAAAACUUAGAAGGCAAACGUAAAUCACAAUUUUGCUUGACUUUUUUAUGGGUGUCUGGUGUUUUCCCUAAAUUUUCAGAAGUACUGUAGAAAUUCAGAACAUGGUAUCCUUGAUAAAUGAUCAGCAGUUUUGUAGAUAAGAGGCUGUUGGGAAGUGUUUCAACUAUGUUUAUUCCUGAAAGCGAAUUGGUGCGUUUUCUGCCUAUACGACAUUCUAUUGGUGUUUGACAUGUAACCAAAGGGCCACUUUAGUUGUCCAUUCAAACCCUGCUGUAUGAUAGGUACUGUAUUAGAGAUUAUAUAUAUUGUAUCACGUGAUUAACUGGCAACUAUGCAAAUUAUGUAGUUUGAAAAUUAAAAAAUUGGCCCAGACAGAAAUUGGUACUACCAGGAUUAAACUCCCAAGUUUACUGUGUUUGGGACAGUAUGGGGAAGUAGUUUUAUUUGUACCUUAUGGUGUGUGUUCGUUUGUUUUUAAGAUUUAUUUAUUUGAAAGAGUUACACAGAGAGAGGAGAGGAGAGAUCGAGAGAGGUCUUCCAUCCGCUCGUCCACUCCCCAGAUGGCUGCAACAGCCUAAGCUGCGCUGACUCAAAGCCAGGAGCCGGGAGCUUCUUCCUGGUCUCCCAUGAGGGUUCAGGGGCCCAAGGACUUGGGCCAUCUUCUGCUGGUUUCCCAGUUCAUAGCAGAGAGCAGAAUCAGAAGUGGAGCAGCCUGGACUCGAACCAGCACCUGUAUGAGAUGCCAGCACUGCAGGCGGCAGCUUUAUCCUCUAUGUCACAGUGCCAGCCCCUGUACCUUAUGUUUGGAAGCAGCUUAAACAUCAUUUCAUCUGUAAAUAUAUCAGCAUGUACUGUUAAAGACGCUUCAAAGCUGGAGUUUUAGAUAAAGCCAAGAAGUGAACUUAAUUGUCUAGAAUUAAGAUAUCAAUAUAUUAGUGAAUUGUCAAUAAUAUGUCUCAUAAAAACUAAAAUUUUAUAGGGAAGGCGAAUUUCUUAUAUGAGGUAACUCAGUGAAGUAUAGCUACAUUUUUAGAGAGGAAAUCAUAUUUAGUAUAUUAGUAAGCAUAUAAUCAUAUUUUUAUUAAAGAUGUGAAUAGGUUGAAAAGUGCUCUUCAAAUAUUUGCUAAUUCCUUUGAAAUUGAAAAUUAGCACAUUUGGGAGCCUUGGUUGUGGUUGUGAUGUAGCAGGUAAGCUGCCACCUUCAGUGCCAGCAUCCCAUAUGGGUGCCUGUUCAAUUCCUGGUUGCUGCACUUCCCAUCCAGCUCCCUGCUGGGAAAGCUGGGAGGAUGGCUCAAGUGCUUGGGCCCCUGUACCCACGUGGGAGACCUGGAAGAAGCUUUUCUGGCUCCUGGCUUCAGUUGUGGCCAUUUGGGGGAGUGAACCAGCAGAUGGAAGACCUGUCUCUGUCUCUCCCUCUCUCUAACUGAGCCUUUCAAAUAAAUCUUAAAAAAAGAAAGAAAAAAAAUGAGCA
ensembl:lncRNA